UACGUAGGGUGCGAGCGUUGUCCGGAAUUAUUGGGCGUAAAGAGCUUGUAGGCGGUUUGUCGCGUCUGCUGUGAAAAUCCGGGGCUCAACCCCGGGCUUGCAGUGGGUACGGGCAGACUAGAGUGUGGUAGGGGAGACUGGAAUUCCUGGUGUAGCGGUGAAAUGCGCAGAUAUCAGGAGGAACACCGAUGGCGAAGGCAGGUCGCUGGGCCACGACUGACGCUGAGAAGCGAAAGCAUGGGGAGCGAACAGG
rnacentral:rRNA from 1 species